AGUUAGUGAACGAUGACGAAAUCCUGCGCCAUCUUUGAUUUGACAUAGUUGACUCAUGUGGUUGUGUAAUAAUCGACUUUAACAGUUCUCUUAAUACAUCAUGCUUAAACAUCAUACCCCAUACCCUAAAAUACGUUUAAUCAUAAGGUAAAGUGCGAAAUAGACGUCAGUAAAUAAUCUGCCUCGGACGUGUUCUCGCGCUAUGACGAAACAACGUCGAGUUCUUUGGUGACACGAGAAUGUGGCGUAUGAGGUUAGCUUCCUCCCUCCAGUUUUACGAAAGUUUGUUUCACGCAAACGCUCCCUUUUUUAGGUAAGGCGAGUUAUCUUUCCUGCUAAGAAAAAGAAAUCGGACUCCUUGUCAGUUUCACCUAAAAUGUCUUUUGAAGAACAAGAUGAAGGAUAAAGGCCAGAACAACCGAUAUUAAGGUCUGGAGUUUUGUCAGUGGAGGCCAGGUGACUGAGGCCUCUUAUUGGUCGGAGAGCAGCAGGAGCAACCAACCGAGUCCCAGC